rnacentral:rRNA from 1 species
UACAGAGGCCCCAAGCGUUACUGAGAAUCACUGGGUUUAAAGGGUGCGUAGGUGGCGCGUUAAGUCCGUUGUGAAAGCCCUGGGCUCAACCCAGGAACUGCUUCGGAUACUGGCGCGCUUGAGGCUAGUAGGGGUCACUGGAACUGACGGUGGAGCGGUGAAAUGCGUAGAGAUCCGGAGGAACACCGACGGCGCAGGCAGCGUCCUGGCCGCUUGCUGACACUGAGGCACGAAAGCUGGGGGAGCAAACAGG